GGAAUAUGAUAUCUUCAUCAGGAAGAUCUAUGACCAUCAGAUAGUUAGGCAACUUUAGCAGAUGAUGCAAGACAUUUGUCAAGGGUGCCGGGCGUGACCACCUCAUGAUUUGGAUCCGUCCAGAUAUUAAGAAGGAACUGGACGCCCACUUUAGUACUGAUGAGGGGUUCAAGCGUCAUCGUCUGACGAACAGAACUAAUAGGACUUCGCCGAGGUUGUCGAAGUAUACCGUCUAAGUCGUUGGAGCGUGAGGCGAUAUUGGCGGAGACCUUCAAGUAUACCUAUACAUUGAAGGCCAACAAGGAGAGAUUUGAUGAUGAGCGAUCUGUGGCUCAUUAUAACGACUACACGUAAAGAUUGGAGGUCGCAACCUAACAAUCUCAACCUAGUGGGGACGAUCUCGGCUUUGAUGCCUCAGUCGUAGAUCCUGAUAGGGUUUGGCGUGAGACUACUUCUGAGCCCUACAAGAAUUGCAUCUAUGGGUUGGGGUUGUUCUUCGCCAGCGGCCUUCGGACCUCCACAUUGGCAACUUCAUCUGCCUCUGCCUUUACCACUAGCCCUGCCAAUCCCAAAGAAAUUGUUGAUUUGAGGGAGUAGGUGUAGAAGCUCACAUAGGAGCUUCACCAACAAACUCAGCAGUUUGAACAGAGGUACAACGAGUUUCUUGCAUUCGUGGGAGACACCGUUGCCAUCAGAUCGGAGCUGAUGAAAAAGCUGGAGUAGCUAGAGCAUUUACAAGACCAGAUGGUGAUGUACAACGACCAAAUGCGCGCUAGAGGCAGCGGCGCUGCUAGUGUGGCAUCGACAUAAGCUCUUAGUCCGCCGCCUCAACGGGGGAAGACGACGACGCAACGAUU